UACGAAGGGUGCAAACGUUGCUCGGAAUCAUUGGGCGUAAAGCGCACGUAGGCGGCUCCGCAAGUCGGAUGUGAAAUCCCUCGGCUCAACCGAGGACGUGCAUCCGAAACUGCAGAGCUUGAGUAUGGAAGAGGGUCGCGGAAUCCCCGGUGUAGAGGUGAAAUUCGUAGAUAUCGGGGGGAACACCAGUGGCGAAGGCGGCGACCUGGGCCAAUACUGACGCUGAGGUGCGAAAGCGUGGGGAGCAAACAGG
rnacentral:rRNA from 1 species